rnacentral:rRNA from 1 species
GACGAACCGUGCGAACGUUAUUCGGAAUCACUGGGCUUAAAGCGCGUGUAGGCGGGCCGGCACGUCCGUGGCUGAAAGCCCCCGGCUCAACCGGGGAAGUGGCGCGGAUACGGCCGGCCUGGAGGGGGGUAGGGGGACCUGGAACUUCCGGUGGAGCGGUGAAAUGCGUUGAGAUCGGGAGGAACACCUGUGGCGAAGGCGGCCGGCUGGGGGUACCCUGACGCUGAGGCGCGACAGCGUGGGGAGCGAACCGG